GGCGUCUCCAGCCCAACACGCACUCGAGGAGCGGCGCGUGGGGGUUUUUCCUCCUUUCCCAUCGAAACCAAACACACAGGGGAUCGAGGAUGAAAAGAAGAAAUACAGAACUGCUGCUUCUGGGAAUUAUGCAAAGAUGGAGAGGGACCUUUUCUCUGUCCUGAAGCCACCAGCCAUGCCCAGGCAAUCCCCAGCUAUUCUUGAAGAGCAUUUCCAGCAGCUAUUGUUUCUGUGGGCAGGCAGAGGAAAAGCUUACACGGCCAAGGAGACGUCAUGUCACAAGUGACAGAGUAGAAAGG